UUUAGUGAACGUUUUCUUUUUUUAAUUCGGCUUGGGUUUUGGUAGGGGGGGUGGUGGUAUUUGUUUUAGCAGUGGCCUAGGCAUAGGUCCCUCCAGAAAAAUAUUAUGGCUGGCUGGGAAACCCGCACAUUGUGAUGUUAGGGAACGCGUGCAAGCAAACAGGCACAAACGGGGGGUGCGAUAUUCUCCAAGAGGCAGACUGGCCUUUGUCUCUUACUUAAUUUUAUUCCUGCCUGCUCUGUGUUCUGUGCCACACGAUUUACACACUGAAUCAUGCUCAGCAGCCGUAUUCACAAGCGGGCAUAAAUUUAUUUUUCGUCUGCCGGCCAAUUACACCAACUGCCUCAACUGUUGUUUAUUUUCUUCUGUUGCAUCCUCUUGAGUUACUGUUAACAGUGUCCCUUUUGAGUAGAGAUGGGCUUUUUGGCACUGAGGCCUGUCGGCCUGCCAAACUAAUGGACCAUAUAUGUUAUCUAACUAUUUGUAAAGGCUCCAGUUUCAGGACGUCUUGCAGUUGCUGCGGCCACCUGUAGUGCACUGGCGUGGCCAUUGUCUGGGGCAAGACGUGUCAUCCCAGCUCAAGAGUGUCCUUGGGCACUCGCCUGCCCUUGCGGGCACAGCGAGUUAUGCACUUGGUGUAUGGAAACUGCAUUUCUGUGGCUGAAAGGCUCAUCUCCCUGGGCAGGGAGGCACAACUGCUCCUGUGGGCUGUGCAGAGCCUUGCUCCAUGCAUGGGGGGACCAGGAAAUCUCCUGCACGCUGCUGGUUGGAGGCUGGUCAUCCACGCAGAGAGGGACAUGACCACGAAGAGAGUCUCUAGAAACCUGGGCUAAUGGUGUGGGAAGAAAGAGCUCUGCAAGAUGACAGUCCCUGGCCCUAUCUGCAGGUGGACAAAAGCUGCUGGAGAACCCGGGUGUCAUUCCUCCACCAAGGAUCAGUGCCGUUGGCUGGAGGAGCCGGCAGGGAGCGAGAGUGAGAGCCAUGGGAAGGAGAGGAGAAAAUGUGUCCAUCUUGUCGAAACGGAGCAGGUUGCAGCUGUCUGCAGAGCCGUCUUGCGAAGUGACAAGGGAAUAUUUACAUUAUCAAACACUGUGAUGACGAGCAUCUUGGGCUCUUGCAGUGCUGUACGGUUAAGUACGUCAACUAGCACUGUAACUCUGGGCUUGUGCAGCAGGCACGGUAGUUGCAAAAUUUUGGGGGUAGCUACACCCCUCAGACAUUAUCAUGCAUGAAACGGACAGAGCUGUGAAGCAGAUAAGAGUUUCCCUAAAGUUGAGGAGAGAGAGCAUCUUUGAAGGAUGUUUUGAUGUUUAAUAGGUAAGGAAUGCUUUCUGUACCAUUCUGUGGAGAAAUUUUAAUACAGAGAGAAAAAUAUAUGGAAAAAUUUGCUUGGAAAAGAAGGCUCAGUUUUCCUGCUGCAAAGCAUUCAAUUCUUUUCUGUGAAAAUUGAAAUGUUAA
rnacentral:lncRNA from 1 species